GCAAGUCGAGCGCGCCCUUCGGGUAGGAGCGUCGGACGGUUUAGUAACGCGUGGGAAUAUACCCAGUUCUAAGGAAUAGCCACUGGAAACGGUGAGUAAUACCUUAUACGCCCUUCGGGGGAAAGAUUUAUCGGAAUUGGAUUAGCCCGCGUUAGAUUAGAUAGUUGGUGGGGUAAUGGCCUACCAAGUCUACGAUCUAUAGCUGGUUUGAGAGGAUGAUC
rnacentral:rRNA from 1 species